ACAGAGAUAUGCCAAAAUGGAAAUGAAUGAAAGUGAGCGUGGAAGAAAGAAGCGCAGGAAUGAUGAAGAUGAUGAUGCUGACGACACAGAAGAGUCCUUGGGUGUGCGGAAGAAGUUCCAGAGGAAAAAGCAUAAAACUUGAAAAUGGUGUUUUAUAUAAAAUUCUAAACAAAUUAUACCUUGUUACAGUUUAUGCAUUCAUUUCAUUAAGCAUAAGUGUGCUUGUAGAGGAUAAUAUUCUUCUACAGCAGAUACUCCCAUUUUGUAAAAUAAAGCUUAAGAUCAUGGCUGGAAAUAAAUGCAUUGGAUCAUUAUUAUAAAAUCUAACAAAAUUAGCAAAGAACUGUGCAUUUAUCUUUCGUGAAUCAAUGAAAUGUGACACUAUUGUUGCAUAGUUGUAUUGAUAUCUUUACCAUGUACAUAAUGUACUUGAUUUGUUGUCUGUCAAUGAUGCACAUUAUUAACAGCUUUGCGUCAUUACAUGAGAAAAUAAAUUAUAUGUUAUGG
rnacentral:misc_RNA from 1 species